GAUCAGUCUUUCCAAAAUGAGCAUGAGGCCCGUUUCCUUUAUUUGGCGACAUCGCUUUAGCAGUUCUCCCCAGGGCUCUCUCCUUGUUUCUUCCAGCCUCUGCUGCACCAAGUGUUCCUUGUCCGUGACAGUAUAAUUCCAGCUUCUGCCGGUGUCUUAUAGACCUACUUCCUGCAUCUUUGUCAUUGGACAGUGUUGCUGGACUUAGUGUCUGCCUUAGUCAAUAAUAUCAUCUCAAGAUUCUUAAUUGUAUCUACAAACACCUUUUUUCCAAAGGUCACAUUCAUAGGUUCCAAAUGGACACAUCUUUUAGGAGAAUAUGACUGUAGAAUCCCAGUUUAUCAAUCACCUGGUGAUAGACGUCUGAACUGUUUGGGGGAAUUACUGUGAAUGAAGAACUAUCCAUUUACAAGGCUGAGGCUCUUCAUAUAUAUAUAUCCUCCAGAGAAAAAUGGCUCUUCCUCUCCCAUCAACGAUCAGCUGCCAAUAGCUCCUCAUCUGAGGGGAGGCCAUGGAGACCCCACCAGAUGGACUUGAACCAGUG